AAUUUUUGACAAUGGGGGAAACCCUGAUACAGCAAUCCUGCGUGUGCGAUGAAGGNCUNNGGGUUNUNAAGCACUUUUGGCUGNNNNNAAAAGGCACUGGUUAAUACCUGUAGAUGCUGACGGUACCUGCAGAACAAGCACCGGCUAUCUACGUGACAGCAGCCGCGGUAAGACGUAGGGUGCAAGCGUUAAUCGGAAUUAAGGAGCGUAAAGCGUGCGCAUGCGGUUUUUCAAGAAGGAUGUGAAAUCCCAAGGCUUAACCUUGGAACUUCAUUCUUAACUGCCAGGCUAGAGUAUGUCAGAGGUGGGUAGAAUUCCGCGUGUAGCAGUGAAAUGCGUAUAGAUGCGGAGGAAUACCGAUGGCGAAGGCAGCCCCCUGGGAUAAUACUGACGCUCAUGCACGAAAGCGUGGGGAGCAAACAG
rnacentral:rRNA from 1 species